AUUGACCUCAGAUCAGACAAGAUUACCCGCCGAAUUUAAGCAUAUUACUAAGCGGAGGAAAAGAAACUAACAAGGAUUCCCCUAGUAACGGCGAGCGAACCGGGAAGAGCCCAACUUGAAAAUCUGGCGUUCGCUGUCCGAAUUGUAGUCUAAAGAAGCGUCCUCUGUAGCGGACCGGGCCCAAGUUCCCUGGAAUGGGACGUCAGAGAGGGUGAGAGCCCCGUCGACCCCGGACCCUGCUACUCCACGAGGCGCUGUCGCCGAGUCGGGUUGUUUGGGAAUGCAGCCCUAAAUGGGUGGU
rnacentral:rRNA from 1 species